rnacentral:rRNA from 1 species
UCAGAUUGAACGCUGGCGGCAGGCCUAACACAUGCAAGUCGAGCGGCAGCGGGAAGUAGUUUACUACUUUGCCGGCGAGCGGCGGACGGGUGAGUAAUGUCUGGGGAUCUGCCUGAUGGAGGGGGAUAACUACUGGAAACGGUAGCUAAUACCGCAUGACCUCGCAAGAGCAAAGUGGGGGACCUUAGGGCCUCACGCCAUCGGAUGAACCCAGAUGGGAUUAGCUAGUAGGUGGGGUAAUGGCUCACCUAGGCGACGAUCCCUAGCUGGUCUGAGAGGAUGACCAGCCACACUGGAACUGAGACACGGUCCAGACUCCUACGGGAGGCAGCAGUGGGGAAUAUUGCACAAUGGGCGCAAGCCUGAUGCAGCCAUGCCGCGUGUGUGAAGAAGGCCUUCGGGUUGUAAAGCACUUUCAGCGAGGAGGAAGGGGUUGAGUUUAAUACGCUCAAUCAUUGACGUUACUCGCAGAAGAAGCACCGGCUAACUCCGUGCCAGCAGCCGCGGUAAUACGGAGGGUGCAAGCGUUAAUCGGAAUUACUGGGCGUAAAGCGCACGCAGGCGGUUUGUUAAGUCAGAUGUGAAAUCCCCGCGCUUA